AUUAACUCUAAAAUAACUUAAUAUAUCCCCCUUAGAGAAUUGGUCAUCUAUGUACCUGUUUUUCAACCCCUUAAGGACGGCGGGUGUUCUAUGCCAUCUUUGGGGACCCGGCUCUAAGCGCCGGCGGGCGGCAUAGAACGCCCAAGCCGUCCUAUGUACUUACCCAGGGAGUUCCUCUUCAGCCCCCGGGCCACGUGAUCGUGAAGUCCUUGCAAGGACCUCACGAUCACAUGGACGGCAUUGCCAGCAAGGGGAGUGCCUGUAAUGACCGGUACUCUCCCUGCUGCCUGUAAACUGUAAAAUAAAAGAUUUAAUAACAGUUUAAAAUAAAAUAUAUACUUAGAUCAUAUAUAUAUAUCACCCCAAAUUACAGUGUGCCAGAAGCUGUGAGGCGUGUCAAUGUGUUGU